ACGUCAGUCACGAACAGGACGCAGUUUCCGGUGCGCCAUUUUAAGCUGUCUGGCGCAAGUUCCACUGGGAAGAUGGCGGGUGAAACUGGUUGAUUUUUUGCGGUUUGCCAAAUUUGAGUUUUAUGCCGAUAUCCGAAAGCCGUCGCUGCUGUUAAUUGUGCUAAAAGCUCGGCGGUGUGUUGAAGCGCCGCGGGCGAGGAGGCGAUGUCUGCCGAAGUUCUCAGACCUGGGCCGGUGGCCGGUGGAGGCAGUAAGCUAGGAGAGCUGAUCGGGAAGCUCCAUGAGUAUUUGGCAGCAGCCACGGAAGACAAGACUGAAGCUACUUUACCUGGACACUGGAAUGGUGAGUACAGCGUGGAAGAGAAAUUAGUCUCAGUCACAUCAGAAACUGAACCAAAAAUAAACUCAUUAAUUGAGCAGUUAUAGUGAAAUUUGUGAUUUCUCAUUUACAGGAACCACGGCCAAAGAAUACUUGGAGCAGCAGGCUUGUGCCCAGGUAGAGAUUGUUUAGAGUGUGGCAGAAAUGACAUUUUUGUUGUCCAACCCAGAAGUUGGCAUCACCCUGGUUCCUUUGACCAAAAGCCAAUAGGAUGUUUCCACUGGGUUCUGAAUAACUGCAGAAAAUAAGCUUUGUGACAAACAAAACCUUUUGCUCAUCAAGAUAAUCUUCACAAAUGAACAACUUUUAUGAAUUUUGAAGCCUAAAUGUAAAUGGCAGAAGUAAAAAUAACUAAAAACUAAAACAAUUUAUAGGCAC
rnacentral:lncRNA from 1 species